CGAGGAAUCAUUCGACACAAACUACUCUUUGCCAAGAAAUUAGCAACUCUCGGUCGAUGAAAUGCUUUUGUUGCAGGGUAACUCCGACUCGAUUCAUUCACAUCAAAUGCUUCUGUUGUUGCCAGCUAAAGUGAUGCUCAAAUGCUGUUCUUUGCUCGAUCAGAAGGUAAUAACCAUGCGAUUCUUAUUCCGACCAACUUGAGUCUUUUGAUGCCGUUUGAGUUUGAUGGGCACUAUGUUGCUUGCUUGCUUGCGUGGUGUUUGUGUGAAUGCCUGCAAGACAUGCUUGUCAGCAGCACAGCAUUUAGCUGGUGAUGGGUGGAUAACUUGGAAUUCGGGAGAGGGGUUCGUUUCUCUUGUCCAAGAUGUUCACUUUCAUCUGCUGAUGUAUAUUCUAAAGGAUUGGAAGGGCAUUGGUGCAUUUCUUUUUUUCUUAGUCGUAUGGAAUCUGGUGAAAUUAGGAUUCGUGUGAGUGGGUCACAACAACUGUUUGAUAAAAUGUUUAAAGAAGUGUGAUGAUUCUUAUGCCAUGCAAAUGUUAAGAUUUGAAAUUUGAUCAUGUACUUGGACAAACGACUAUUUGCAC
rnacentral:lncRNA from 1 species